CAGGCAGAGACCAAACCAAGGCAGAAUGAGGCUGGCCUUCUAUCAUUUUGGAGAAAAGGACAAAAGAAAUGGUCCCGGGGAAGGCUCAAGUUUGCUCAGAAGGCAUCAUGCCAGCCCUCCUCGACCCCUGAGGAGGAGGAGAGGAUGAACAGUUUGGAGAAGCUAAGAAUUGCUCUCCACAAGAUGCAAAAGGAGAGAGAUGAACUCCAGAGAAUCCUCUCUUCUUACCCAAGGAAUGACCUAAACUACAGGUCUUCAAUUCUCCAUCAGAAGCUUGAAUAGUGCACAGACCAGGACUACAUCUCUCUGUGACAGAACUGUCCACCAGGAGCACUGAGUGUGCAAAGAAUGUCAACAACUCCCCCAUCUCAGUCCUAAUAACCAUAGCAAUCUUAGGGUGCAUUUUGUUCUUUACUUUGCUUUCCUAUGUGUGAGGGUCCUUCAUGAUCAGUCAGGCAAAUUUCAAAGACCUUGAGAUAUUGCCUGUAACAUUCUCAUGCUUAACCUUUGGAGGACAUGUCCAUCAGCAACCCACCACACCCUUUGAGGCAGGUCUACACUGAUCUUCAAGAGAUUAUUACCAUCUUGCCUGCCUUUCUGCUUUGUUUGCAAGGCCAGCAGCAGGCUGUGGUGUACGUAACAAAUCUGCAGCAGUCAAGUGCUGCUCCUCUCACCUGUUUUCUUUUGUUUCUGGUUAGAAGUUUGAUUGCUUUAGGUUUUGCUUUGUUUU
rnacentral:sRNA from 1 species